rnacentral:rRNA from 1 species
CCUACGGGGGGCAGCAGUAGGGAAUCUUCCACAAUGGGCGAAAGCCUGAUGGAGCAACGCCGCGUGGGUGAAGAAGGCCUUCGGAUCGUAAAACUCUGUUGUUAGAGAAGAAAGUGCGUGAGAGUAACUGUUCACGUUUCGACGGUAUCUAACCAGAAAGCCACGGCUAACUACGUGCCAGCAGCCGCGGCAAUACGUAGGUGGCAAGCGUUAUCCGGAUUUAUUGGGCGUAAAGGGAACGCAGGCGGUCUUUUAAGUCUGAUGUGAAAGCCUUCGGCUUAACCGGAGUAGUGCAUUGGAAACUGGGAGACUUGAGUGCAGAAGAGGAGAGUGGAACUCGAGGUGUAGCGGUGAAAUGCGUAGAUAUAUGGCAGAACACCAGUGGCGAAAGCGGCUCUCUGGUCUGUAACUGACGCUGAGGUUCGAAAGCGUGGGUAGCAAACAGGAUUAGAUACCCUUGUAGUC